AUCCAACUGACGAGCCCGUAAUAAGAUGAAACGCGCGUCCAGGAU
rnacentral:hammerhead_ribozyme from 1 species